GGAAACUGGAGACGUGAAAUCGACAGCCAGGGCGUGGCAUUCGAGAUGAUGGAGAUGAAUUUCUUCCGCCCAAAUAGAAUCAUGUUUAUUUUUUCAGCUGUACCUUUUAUCAUUAUCCACUCUCCUCCCUCGAUUUGCAUGAAGUUGAAAAUUGUUGCGAUUUAAUUUUUUCCGAGAGAUCAUGUUUUUAAAAAGUGUCUUUUGCAGAGUUUUAAAUUGUUCUGUCUGAACUCUGCUGUGACCCCAUGAUGUAACCUUAGAAGGAUGGACUUGUCCCUCCAGUGGCCUUCCUUGGCCCCCGCCCCAGGGAGGGGCACCCUUCCUCUGUGCCCCAGCGGGUGUCGCUGUCGAACUUCAAGGAUGAAUGACACAGACCUGCCCAGGCUGUUGGCCCUGAAGGGUGGAGCCUGCACAGGGACCUGCAGCCUCUCUGAGCUCAGUGUUGUUUUAAGUUGAUGUUUAACGGUGUCCCUUUCCCUCAGAAAGGUUUAACGUUUGCUUGGAAUGUGAUUUUGCUCCCACUCUAAGGAAUUUUUAUCACCAAAAUGAAUGUUAAUGGAUUUUAAACCUAUGGUUUAUCUUUGCAAGAGGCGAGGUGGCUUCACCCCAACAUUCCCACAGCCUGGGGCCUCCAGCUCAGCCAGGCCUCUUCUGCCCCAGCUUACGGAGCGCCAUCACCCACCGCCCCGUCCUUGCUGUUGUUAACCCACGAUGCUGCUACACAGAUGCCAAAUGGAAAUCUUCCACAGGGCCCUUGAGUAAACUCGUGGUGUGGAGUCCACGCUCCUGCCCUUCCCACUGGGAUGUAUGUCAUUGUCAGAAAAGGAGUCGGACCUUCCAGCUGUGCUCUGUGCACCCUGCCGAGAAGGCACGUCUAGGCCCAUGUGUCUAAAGGAGGGAACACUGGGGACUGCCGGCACCUGCCCCCUUCCCCUGUCCCUGGGCCCGCGGGGCCCAGCAGUGGCUGUGUCCCCGCCUGAGGACCUCUGUGUCUCCCGCCUCAGACGUGGUCCACGCCAGAGAGGCUGCCCAUACAGCCAGGGUCAGUUUGGCCCCAAACAGGGAUUCAGAAACCAAAUGUGUGUUGUGGCCAUUUCAUGUGUGUCUCUGUCUUAUUUUACUAUCAAAUUCAUCACGUGUAGUGAAAUUAAUGUCAGGAGGUAUUUCUUGAGUGACUGAAUUCCUAACUCUUCUAUCUGUGUUUUAAGUGUUAACCCAAGGGAUAUGUGCAUUUUGUCGGCAACAUUCGUACACUGAAAUGACUUCCUACUGACCACAGUUUUCAUAUAGACCUGUCAGUCCUCGCUGCGUCCAGUCACUAGGUGAGAAGAUAGCAUCUUCUCCACUGGGUCUCACUGCACGAAGGGAAGCCCUGGGGCUAAGCGGCAGUUUCUUCUCCUUCCUCCAGGUAGGACUGUGCACCCCAGGCUGCGCGCUGGCUGGCGGGUGGGAGCUGCGGUUGGGAAAGAACCAGCAACACGCUGGGCUUGCCUCCCGGUGAGCAGCUCGGUGGCUCCAGUGUCAUGUGCGCACCUGGCGCAGUGUUUCCCCUGGGAUGUUGGUCCUGGAGCAUCUUCCUCAGAAGGUGCCGUGCCCCUUAGUGAGGGAAGUACUGGUCUCACCUGGUAGAAGUCACCAGGUGCCCCCUCAAGGGGCUGAGUGGCCUGCUGCUGGCACCCAAAUCAGACCACCGUGGGAUGGUGCUCCCACCGCAGAGCUUGACGUUAGUGGGACCCUGUACUGUGAGUAUUUGCUUUUAUAAACAAACCCAUCCAAGUGUAAAGGUCUCACUUUCUUAAGAUGCGUCUAGCUGAGCACAGCGUCAGUAUGACAUGACACGGGAACUGGGAUUAUCUGUAGGGGGUGCAGAAACGAGAGAGAGUUCCCUGUAACAGAGUGAAACCCGGGCCUCGCUAGGGGAGGAGGCUUCUGCCCCAGCCAGCACACCACGCUCUGGGCCGGGACAGCAGUGCCAUCCCUGUGGUCUGGCGCUGCUGGGCUGCCAAGCCGUGGUUCCUCUGGCCUCCUGGAUCUUCUCCCGUCAGCUUCCCCUGGCCUAUCUGCUUUGAUCUGCCUCUCCACACGCAGUCCGUCUCCGGGCGCCUUGCUACUGGAAGGAGCCUCUGGAAUCACAGUUACUGUGAUGGAUCUUUUUUGGAGCCCUACUGCUGCUCUGUGAAUCCUAAAGCCCUUUUGAGAGGAUUCCAGCUGCUGGCUCCUUGACUUCAGGGAGAAAUGGUUAACAUUUCCAUACUGUCUUACCUGCUCAGUGUGUGGCUUUUUGAAAAGUCCUCUCUAUAAAGGAGCUGGCACAGGGGGGCUUUGCAGUAGGGCUCCUGGAGGACGAGAUUUUAGCCUCCCAAGUUCGUAUUUAUUUUCUAUAAACUACUCUUUACCUUUGAUUUUUCACACUGUUUUAUAACAACAGGGAGUCCCAAAUAAGUCCUGUCUGGUCCCUGAAGGAAUGAAGGCUAACAUUUGGCUACAGUUAUAUCUGCUUUGGGCAAGGCCCAAGACCCUUCAGAUGGUAACACUCAGUAUCUGAGCGACAGAUUCCUCUUUCAGGCCCCCCACUUUCCUUCUGGAAACUAACUUCAGGCUGUUGAAGGAGAAAUGCUGGCUCAUGGCUUCUGUGGGGCAGCAGGAGAAUGAUUUGGGUAAGGUCUAUGCGGUUUGUGUCUACAAAGUAAAUGAGAGCAAGGCAGAGAAAGACCAUCAAAUAGUUGAGAUCUUGAUGUGCAGCAGCCCGUCCUCGGCACUACUGGUGGGUCGUCCUCUCCUAGGGCUGCUGGCUUCGUAAGCGUGGGGAGCAGGCUGUGGAGCAGACACAGCACAGGGCCCGGGGUCCUGAAUUCUGUGGGAGCUCCGUUGUCAGGCCAGGGCCUCGCACUCCUUUUCAGUGGCCCCUGCUGCAAGCCCUGGCUCUGGGGGACCAGACAGGGUGUCCCCCUCUCCUAAGCAGCCACUCUGGCAUCCCGAAGCUUCCUCCUGGAGCUGGAUUCCUAGUAUCCAAGUGUUCCUGGGACAAUCUGCUUUCUCUUCAUAAAUGAGGGAGACUUUCUUCCUACUGCUUUAGCGUUUCCCUCCCUUUAAUUCUGUUUCACAUGCAUCAGGCAAGUCUAAAAUCGUAUGUUUAAACUCUUAGGAAAACAGAACCUUAAGAUUUGUGCAUGGAAACUGAGAUGUUAAUCAACUAGCUUAAGCCUUGGUUCUUACAUAAUUUGAAUGUGAAAGGGCACCCCAUGUAACUCUUUUUUCCCCUCCUUCCUCACCUCACUUCUGGAAGAGAGCUCAGUGCCCGUGCUGACAGUGUUGUCUUCCCCAAGUGGGAGGAGUAGGGCAUCUUGCCAUUUUCUAAUAUUUCAAGGAGCUUUUGUGCAAAUGUUGAAUGCAAAACUUCACACUAAUAUGGAACAUUAACUGUGAAUAUAUUUACUUGUGCUAUCCCCAGUACCACACAACUAAAGGUCCAGCUUUUCCAACUCUAGGAAAACAGUGCUAGAUACAAGUAGAACUGCAUUUCCCUUAGGAAAUGAAGCCACGGGAAUUUGGGAUUAGCAGGGACCAUGAACUUCUGUCCUCAAAUUACCUCAGGUUGAGGAGCAGACCUAAGUAGGCCCUGGCCAAUUGAACCUGUGUCCUGGCUGGUCAAAAACAAAAACAAAACCCAACCCUGUCAUCUUCUGAAAAACCAGCCAGGGAUCUGACCAUCUUUGCCUUGCCUGGGCCAGGAGAGCAGGACUCCUCCAGUGUUCCCCAGGGCCCGGCCUCACCUGGGCUGGCACGGGAAGGUGCUCACCUUGUUCCCUGGGAUUCUAAGCAGGAGGCCACCAGGGAGGGUUGGCUUGUGCAUGUCACAUGACACAAGCUCCUUGCUCUCAGGAGAGCAGGAACUGUUCCCCUCUCAGCUUUGAUCCCGGAGACGGUUUUCUUGCGGAGCGUUGAAGACCGCGAGGCUGAGCUGGCAGUUCAGGGAGCGGAGGCUUCUGAGGCUCUUGUCCUGGGUCAGGUGUGGUUCUAUUCCAGCCUCUGGACUAGUGGUGCUUCUGUCCAGCAAGGGCAUCUUGGUGGGUUGCAGGUUAGCCCAGAAUUAGGAGGGAUUUAGAGAGUUCAAUAUGGAAGUGAUCUGGGGAUUCAGAAGCUUUUCCCAUGUAAAUGGAUCAGUAAGCAACCUACUCAGUGGAUUUUUAUACCUCAGGGCCAUUUGCAAAUCUUUAUCUUUCCACGUUUCUUUUGUAUUUGCGUGGGCUGAUAGGAGAGAUGAGUUCGGAGGGUUCCAGGAUGAUGUUUGUUCAUUUGCCUCGGUUUGCGGAUGUGCGGGGCACCCGCGCCAACCUUGCUCGAGGCUGUGGCAGUGGGCCUUCCUCCUCCGGCACAUGCGGGCACCCUUCCUGCAGGGAGUGCUUACAUGCUGCUUUUCCUUCUGCCCUGCCUGAAGAUGCCAGAGCCCCUGGUCAGCCCUAAGAACAGGAGGAAGAUGGCAGUUCACAGCAGCUGCAGAGCUCGGAGCAGCUUUCCUCCCACUGUCUUGGGCUGGGGACCUUCUUUGCUCUUCAGACCUUUGCCAAGGUUGUCUCGGCUCAAGUAAGCUUUCUCACUGUAUAGGUUAGAGCCACUGAGGUCAUCUCAGAAGAAUUGUUUUAAGUAUCAGGCUGUACUUGAAGCAACAUGGAAACAAAGGUUCUAAAUGGCAAGAGAGUAAAGUUCUAGGAGUUUGUAUGCCGAGGUUUAUAUGUACACAGAUCCAACACAUACUGUAAGACUUGAGUGAGUACACAUUUUCAAGUUUCCAUACCCACUGGGUAUUAAACGAAUUGGAAGAAUGACUGGGAGUAUUGUUUUGCCUCACUUGGCAGGGUAUCUUCCAGCAUUUGCCCACAUCUGACCAACAUGGAUUCACUCGAGAAGUGAUUUCUUUUGGGGCCAGCUUCCUCUUCAGACUCACCCUGGAGAGAACUAUCAAAUGGACCUGGUAGGCCUUGAGUGCCUGCCCUUUUUGUUGGAGGCCCAGGCCCCUUGGAUAUAAACAACUGGUUUCAGGCUCCCAGAGCAGAAGGGAGAGGGGAAAAAAGUAAGGCCUCAGGACUCUUGUUCCCCAGAGAGCCCCAGCCUUGCUCCUGAUUCAUUACUCCCCGUGUCUAAAGUCUACUGUGAAGGUGGAGUGUGUCAGUCCGUUGACUUUUCUUGUUUCUGGAGUCCUUUUAAGUCCACAAAUGUAUAUGCUUUAUUUUAUAUUAUUAUUUAUUAUGUACAUAUGCCUCUACUGUUAGUACAUCGUCUGUGACUAAGAUGAGAUCUGUUCUGGAGCCCCUCAUCCAUGGAGCCUAGGGUUCUGUUGUCUUUUAAAGUGGGUGAGAAGGAACGGUUUUGCUUUUGUCUUAAACAGGUUGCUGCUCUUACGUUGGUCCUAGUGUCCCGGCCCCUGUUAUUAGGCCCACCUCUAUUCCUGAUGGCAGGUGUUUGAGAUGAGGAUGGAGGCAGGUCUUUACUUCAUGGCAGGGCCUCUCAAGUACCUCCGUGAAAUACUUUAGAGGUGGUUUCCUGGUGACUGGGUCUAUUCUCUGGGUAAUGGUACAGCGUGGCUGUGAGGCCACAGCCUCCUUCCUCACUCCCACACUCCCAAGCCAGGUUGGUGGCCUGGUCCCACAACAGUGAUGGUCUCUAAUUCCCACCUUGGAUUGCAGAAUCCAUCUCUCUGGACCAUGGAAGCUGCCUGCCCACCUGGGCUUCUAAUAUGCCUUUUCUUGGUUUUGAGGCCCAAUGCCAACACUGCCUUGGCGCCUCAAAUAAGACCCUGCUUUGAGUCUGAUUUCCAUCCUCCUUAGCCUUUACUCACUGUAUCAUAGUGUACAUUUCAUGCUUUGUAGCAGUGAAGUUUUUGAACACAGUAUCCAGAGCUGUGUAUAUAAACCUAAAUAAGCACAAAUGACAUGUAUAGGUUUCGUGAGCUGAUUGUCAUAAUGAAUGCAUUUUAUAAUUCAAAUGAUGUUGUAGAUUUACAAUCUCUAUUUAUUUUGUAUCAAUUUAUUUGUAAAUUUUGUGAUUGUUUUAAAAGGUUUUUGUUCAUUUCUAUUAUUCUGUUUAGAUAAAUGAUUUCUGUUCACCCUUCU
rnacentral:lncRNA from 1 species